rnacentral:rRNA from 1 species
UACGUAGGGUGCGAGCGUUGUCCGGAUUUAUUGGGCGUAAAGAGCUCGUAGGCGGUUUGUCGCGUCGGCCGUGAAAUCUCCACGCUUAACGUGGAGCGUGCGGUCGAUACGGGCAGACUUGAGUUCGGUAGGGGAGACUGGAAUUCCUGGUGUAGCGGUGAAAUGCGCAGAUAUCAGGAGGAACACCGGUGGCGAAGGCGGGUCUCUGGGCCGAUACUGACGCUGGAGGAGCGGAAAGCGUGGGGAGCAAACAGG